UGGGGAAUAUUGGACAAUGGGCGCAAGCCUGAUCCAGCCAUGCCGCGUGAGUGAUGAAGGCCCUAGGGUUGUAAAGCUCUUUCACCGGUGAAGAUAAUGACGGUAACCGGAGAAGAAGCCCCGGCUAACUUCGUGCCAGCAGCCGCGGUAAUACGAAGGGGGCUAGCGUUGUUCGGAUUUACUGUGCGUAAAGCGCACGUAGGCGGACUUUUAAGUCAGGGGUGAAAUCCCGGGGCUCAACCCCGGAACUGCCUUUGAUACUGGAAGUCUUGAGUAUGGUAGAGGUGAGUGGAAUUCCGAGUGUAGAGGUGAAAUUCGUAGAUAUUCGGAGGAACACCAGUGGCGAAGGCGGCUCACUGGACCAUUACUGACGCUGAGGUGCGAAAGCGUGGGGAGCAAACAGG
rnacentral:rRNA from 1 species